GGACGCGCCCUUUCCGGGUUGUACAAAGGCACUUUUGUCAAGGCAUGGAAGUUCCUUUGGUCUAGUAUCCUUAUGGGGAUGACGGUACAUGACGAAUAAGCACCGGCUAAGUACGUGCCAGCAGCCGUGGUAAUACGUAGGGUGCAAGCGUUAAUCGGAAUUACUGGGCGUAAAGCGUGCGCAGGCGGUUGUGUAAGACAGGUGUGAAAUCCCCGGGCUUAACCUGGGAAUUGCAUUUGUGACUGCACGACUAGAGUGUGUCAGAGGGGGGUGGAAUUCCACGUGUAGCAGUGAAAUGCGUAGAUAUGUGGAGGAACACCAAUGGCGAAGGCAGCCCCCUGGGAUAACACUGACGCUCAUGCACGAAAGCGUGGGGAGCAAACAGGAUUAGAUACCCUGGUAGUCCACGCCCUAAACGAUGUCAACUAGUUGUUGGGGAUUUACUUCCUUGGUAACGUAGCUAACGCGUGAAGUUGACCGCCUGGGGAGUACGGCCGCAAGGUUAAAACUCAAAGGAAUUGACGGGGACCCGCACAAGCGGUGGAUGAUGUGGAUUAAUUCGAUGCAACGCGAAAAACCUUACCUACCCUUGACAUGGCAGGAACUUUCCAGAGAUGGAUUGGUGCUCGAAAGAGAACCUGCACACAGGUGCUGCAUGGCUGUCGUCAGCUCGUGUCGUGAGAUGUUGGGUUAAGUCCCGCAACGAGCGCAACCCUUGUCAUUAGUUGCUACGAAAGGGCACUCUAAUGAGACUGCCGGUGACAAACCGGAGGAAGGUGGGGAUGACGUCAAGUCCUCAUGGCCCUUAUGGGUAGGGCUUCACACGUCAUACAAUGGUCGGUACAGAGGGUUGCCAAGCCGCGAGGUGGAGCCAAUCCCAGAAAACCGAUCGUAGUCCGGAUCGCAGUCUGCAACUCGACUGCGUGAAGUCGGAAUCGCUAGUAAUCGCGGAUCAGAAUGCCGCGGUGAAUACGUUCCCGGGUCUUGUACACACCGCCCGUCACACCAUGGGAGUGGGUUCUACCAGAAGUGGCUAGUCUAACCGCAAGGAGGACGGUCACCACGGUAGGAUUCAUGACUGGGGUGAAGUCGUAACAAGGUA
rnacentral:rRNA from 1 species